rnacentral:rRNA from 1 species
GACGUAGGGGGCGAGCGUUGUCCGGAGGUAUUGGGCGUAAAGCGCGCGCAGGCGGUCUAGCCAGUCUGGAGUGACAGUUCCCGGCUCACCUGGGAAAGGUCUUCGGAAACUGCUAGACUUGAGGGACUCAGAGGGAGACGGAAUUCCAGGUGGAGCGGUGAAAUGCGUAGAGAUCUGGAGGAACACCAAAGGCGAAGGCAGUCUCCUGGGAGUUACCUGACGCUCAGGCGCGAAAGCCAGGGGAGCGAACGGG